AGCCUCACUCUGCAUGAGAAUGGCCACUGCUUGUCAGUGUCCAGAAUUGGUCAACGUGGCUAAAUUGAGACAGGUUAUGCAUCACAGUAAGUGUACUACAGUGGUGACAAUGAGACCUGUAACAUUU
ensembl:snoRNA